rnacentral:lncRNA from 1 species
AUUCUGUUUCCCUCACGAGGGGCUCUGCCGGGAGCCCCAGCUGGGGGAUUGCCUAUAGGCACUUCUUCUGCUUGUCUGUGGAAUUUGUUGCGAGGUUCAAGGUGCGAUCUGUUGCGGAGCAUGUCUGCAGGCUCUCCAUGUGGGUUUGGAUUCUGGUUUGGUUGGGGUGCAUUUUCUAAGAGGAAUUUGUGCAAGUACAGACAUGCUGAGGUGGUCUUCAGGGUCGGGUGGAGCUCGGAGUCAUGUACUGCCAUGAUUUCGUUUCCUUGCAGGGUUGCAGAGUUUGGCUUUUCUGGAGAUGUCCUGGAGGAUGGGGUGGUGUAGGGAUAUAGUUUUGUUGCUUGGCUUAUCCAGGUGGCUAGAGCGUUCUCUGUAUUGUACGUCAGUGCUCUGUAUUUUUCUAUGAUUGGCCUAAAAGUUAGGGGGAUUUUGUGUGUCUUCAGAUAGUCGAAGAGUCUGGGAGAGGCUGGAUUGGAUAUUUUCUUAACUCUUAAGAAGUCUGGGAGGUUUUUUUGUUUCAAAAUGUUGUUAACUCUUCUAUCCAGGGCUUUUCUCUGGUCUUUUGUUAGGAUUUCUGCUUUGGAGUUUUUUAUGUAAUUAUUUAGGUUGUCCUCAUAAACCUCAUUCUUAACUAUCAC